UACAGAAGCCUCAAGCGUUACCCGGAUUCACUGGGCGUAAAGGGUGCGUAGGCGGUUAUAUUAGUCGGGUGUUAAAUCCUGAGGCUCAACCUCAGGCUCGCAUUCGAAACGGUAUAACUAGAAGAAGUGAGAGGUAAACAGAACUCAUGGUGUAGGGGUGAAAUCCGUUGAUAUCAUGGGGAAUACCAAAUGCGAAGGCAGUUUACUGGCACUUUCUUGACGCUGAGGCACGAAAGCGUGGGGAGCAAACAGG
rnacentral:rRNA from 1 species